ensembl:lncRNA
AUUAAGUUUAGUUAAAACAACGGGUACAAUGCAACCUGCCGACAAUCUUAAGAAAAAACAAUGAUGUCACCUAAAUGCAUCAUCCAUCCAUCCAUCCAUCCAUUUUCUGUACAGCUUAUCCUACACAGGGUCGCGAGGAACCUGGAGCCUAUCCCAGGGGACUCGGAGCACAAGGUGGAGCGACACCCUUGACAAGAGAGGAAGUCCAGAACAUAUGGAGUCCAGAGGCAGUAGUUAAGAGGCAUUGUUCCUGCACUGUCAGUGACAGCUUCACUCAACAGAUUAAUAAGAGAGGGACAUCUCUUUGAACCCAUUACUCUUCCAGGACACAAAAUCACUCCCUGUCAAAAUCCCAUAAACACCUUUCUUCCUCCUCACACAAAGUGAAGUGCUACUAAUUUAUAUUAAAAACAGCAAAAUAAUA